UAGGGAAUCUUCGGCAAUGGGGGCAACCCUGACCGAGCAACGCCGCGUGAGUGAAGAAGGUUUUCGGAUCGUAAAGCUCUGUUGUAAGUCAAGAACGAGUGUGAGAGUGGAAAGUUCACACUGUGACGGUAGCUUACCAGAAAGGGACGGCUAACUACGUGCCAGCAGCUGCGGUAAUACGUAGGUCCCGAGCGUUGUCCAGAUUUAUUGGGCGUAAAGCGAGCGCAGGCGGUUUGAUAAGUCUGAAGUUAAAGGCUGUGGCUCAACCAUAGUUCGCUUUGGAAACUGUCAAACUUGAGUGCAGAAGGGGAGAGUGGAAUUCCAUGUGUAGCGGUGAAAUGCGUAGAUAUAUGGAGGAACACCGGUGGCGAAAGCGGCUCUCUGGUCUGUAACUGACGCUGAGGCUCGAAAGCGUGGGGAGCGAACAGGAUUAGAUACCCUGGUAGUCCACGCCGUAAACGAUGAGUGCUAGGUGUUGGAUCCUUUCCGGGAUUCAGUGCCGCAGCUAACGCAUUAAGCACUCCGCCUGGGGAGUACGACCGCAAGGUUG
rnacentral:rRNA from 1 species